GUGAGGAAUAUUGGUCAAUGGGCGCAAGCCUGAACCAGCCAUGCCGCGUGCAGGAAGACGGUCCUAUGGAUUGUAAACUGCUUUUAUUUGGGAAUAAACUCCGGUACGUGUACCGGCCUGAAGGUACCAAAUGAAUAAGCACCGGCUAACUCCGUGCCAGCAGCCGCGGUAAUAUGGAGGGUGCAAGCGUUAUCCGGAAUCAUUGGGUUUAAAGGGUCCGCAGGCGGUCUUAUAAGUCAGUGGUGAAAGCCUACAGCUCAACUGUAGAACUGCCAUUGAUACUGUAGGACUUGAAUUCGAUCGAAGUGGGCGGAAUGUGACAUGUAGCGGUGAAAUGCUUAGAUAUGUCACAGAACACCGAUAGCGAAGGCAGCUCACUAGGUCUGGAUUGACGCUCAGGGACGAAAGCGUGGGGAGCAAACAGGAUUAGAUACCCUUGUAGUCC
rnacentral:rRNA from 1 species